AGUGAACGCUGGCGGUAGGCCUAACACAUGCAAGUCGAACGGCCGCACAGUAAGAGCUUGCUCUUACGGGUGGCGAGUGGCGGACGGGUGACGCAUACAUCGGAAUCUACUUUUUCGUGGUGGAUAACGUAGGGAAACUUACGCUAAUACCGCAUACGACCUACGGGUGAAACCAGGGGAUCUUCGGACCUUGCGCGAUUGAAUGGGCCGAUGCCGGAUUAGCUAGUUGGUGGGGUAAAGGCCCACCAAGGCGCCACUCCGUAGCUGGUCUGAGAGGAUGAUCAGGCAGACUGGAAGUGAGACACGGUCCACACUCCUACGGUGGGCAGCGGUGGGGAAUAUUGGGGAAUGGGGGCGUGCCUGAUACAGCCAUAUCGCGUGGAUGAAGAAGGACUUCGGGUGGUAGAGUCAUGUUGUUGGGAAAGAAAAGCAGCAGGUUAAUCCCCCGCUGUUCUGACGGUACCCAAAGAGUAAGCACCGGCUAACUUCGUG
rnacentral:rRNA from 1 species